GCUUGUCUCAAAGAUUAAGCCAUGCAUGUCUAAGUAUAAAUAACUACACAGUAAAACUGCGAAUGGCUCAUUAAAACAGUUAUAGUUUAUUUGAUACAUUUUAAAUGGAUAACUGUAGAAACACUAGAGCUAAUACAUGCUAAGACCGUAAGGUUGUAUUUAUUAGAUAUACCGAGUAGGUGAUUCAUAAUAACUUUCGGAUCGAUCUUCGGAUCGAUGCAUCAUUCAAGUUUCUGCCCUAUCAGCUUUGGAUGGUAGGGUAUUGGCCUACCAUGGCUUUAACGGGUAACGGAGAAUUAGGGUUCGAUUCCGGAGAGGGAGCCUGAGAAAUGGCUACCACAUCCAAGGAAGGCAGCAGG
rnacentral:rRNA from 1 species